rnacentral:rRNA from 1 species
UGCCAGCCGCCGCGGUAAUACGGAGGGUGCAAGCGUUAUCCGGAUUCACUGGGUUUAAAGGGUGUGUAGGCGGACUUUUAAGUCAGUGGUGAAAUCCCGUGGCUCAACUCCGGAACUGCCAUUGAUACUGAAAGUCUUGAGUACAGUCGAAGUAGGCGGAAUGUGUAAUGUAGCGGUGAAAUGCUUAGAUAUUACACAGAACACCGAUUGCGAAGGCAGCUUACUAAGCUGUUACUGACGCUGAUGCACGAAAGCGUGGGGAGCGAACAGGAUUAGAUA